AUGUGAGAAUUUGCACGUCCAGGAUCGAAGGAGGAUGGUGGGAGAGAGGGAGAAGGCGGGUUUUGGGAAGGAGGCCAAGGGGCUUGAACGGGCCUGUGGCCGAGGGAGGCCCGCCUCUCUGGGCCGCCGGGGCUGAGGCUAGAGGAGGAGGAGGAUUGAGGCGCAGAGAAAAGAACUGAGGAACAUGUCUCUCCUGCACGCUAAUCGACCUCUCUUCAAAAGCCUCCCACAUAUCAAAUGUGGAUUUACCGUCAAAGACAUCCACAGUGCUGCUAGGGAGGGAUGUUGACUCACCAGAACUGAAAGAAUUUUCAGGAUGGUGUGUGACUUAGAGAGGAAAUUGCAGAGCACCUGUGAAGUGCCUAGUUGGCAAGCCAUGGCAUUUAUAAAGAUUUGGUGCAUAUUGGGACUAGGAGUCCUGGUUUCUUUCACUCAGGCUCAUACUGAUUUCUUCACAUCUAUUGGCCAGAUGACUGAUUUGCUGUACACUGAGAAAGAUCUGCUGACUUCAUUGAAAGAUUACAUCAAAGCGGAAGAGAGCAAACUGGGUGAAAUCAAACGCUGGGCAGAAAAAUUGGAUCAACUUACUGAGACAGCGACAAAAGACCCAGAGGAGUUCCUAGGGCAUCCAGUGAAUGCUUUUAAAUUGAUGAAACGACUGAACACAGAAUGGAUGGAGCUAGAGAACUUGGUCCUCAAAGACAUGUCAGAUGGGUUCAUUUCUAACCUCACCAUUCAGAGACAGCACUUGCCAAAUGAUGAAGAUCAAACUGGAGCUGCCAAGGCUCUGAUACGUCUGCAGGACACGUACAAUCUGGAUGCAGAGACCAUCUCUCAGGGCAACUUGCCAGGCGUGAAGCAUAAAACAUCGCUCACAGCAGAAGACUGCUAUGAGUUGGGAAAAGUAGCCUACACGGAUACAGAUUACUACCACACAGAGCUGUGGAUGGAGCAGGCACUGAAACAGCUAGAUGCAGGCGAGGUUUCCAACAUAAACAAAAUCACUGUACUGGACUACCUGAGCUAUGCAGUAUAUCAGCAAGGUGAUCUGGACAAGGCAUUGGAGCUCACAAAGAGGCUGCUGACACUAGAUCCUGAGCACCAGCGAGCAAAUGGAAAUCUGAGGUAUUUUGAAUAUAUGAUGGCUGACCAGAAAAAGGAAAAGUCAAACACAGCUCAGAACACAGAAGGAAAUAAAUCAGGAACUGUUUCACAGCCUAAGAGAGAGCGUAUCAAAGAUUACCUACCAGAAAGGCAGAAAUAUGAAAUGCUGUGCCGUGGUGAAGGCAUCAAACUGACUCCUCGAAGACAGAAAAGGCUCUUUUGCCGUUAUUCAGAUGCAAACAGAAAUCCCGUGUACAUUCUGAAACCUGUGAAGCAGCAAGAUGAAUGGGACAAACCACGAAUUAUUCGUUACAUUGAUAUAAUUUCUGAUGAGGAAAUUGAGCGAGUGAAAGAACUGGCAAAGCCAAGGCUGAGACGAGCCACCAUUUCUAACCCAAUAACUGGAGUGUUGGAGACAGCUCAUUACAGAAUAAGCAAAAGUGCAUGGUUGUCAGGAUACGAAGACCCCGUGAUUAGUCGGAUUAACCAGAGGAUACAAGACCUGACGGGGCUUGAUGUUUCCACAGCAGAGGAGCUGCAGGUGGCUAAUUAUGGCGUGGGAGGGCAGUAUGAGCCCCACCAUGACUUUGCACGGGCAAGUAACAUCUUAGAAGUUGCAACCGUCCCAAAACCACCCGCUUUUUAUAAUGAGCUUGCAUGGGUAAACUAGCCCUAGCAUUGCAUGAUAAGGGCAGCAUCUCAUUUGGGAAAAUAUGUUGGUUAAUCAAUGGAUAAUUGCAGCAUAAUUGACUCUUUUUACAUGUUACAUGCUACAUGUCACAAAAUUCAGGAACCAAUGUAAAUCAAGACUUACCAUCAAGAUUUUUGGACAGCUGGCAACUUAAAGAGAAGAGAGUAGAUUACUGGCCAUACAGAAGUUUCCAUGCAGUUUCCUUGAAGUUGAUGUAAUUCUUGAUUUAUGUGUGUAUUUUAAUAUGUAUUGUCAAUCAGACCUGCACAUCAGAUUUCUGGCUAGUGCAUUCUCAGCUCCUCAUUCCUGAAAUAGAGGUUUUACGAUAGCAAUUCUUCAAUCCACUGAGACCUUUCCAGAGUCUAGAAAAUUUUGAUAGGUCACCUUCAAUGUAUCUGCUGUCUCUGUACCUACUUCUUUUAAGACCCGAGGAUGAGGAGGCAAUAGCCUAGCGGUAUUACAUUACACUGCUAAUCCAGAGACCCAGGUAUUGUUUUGGGAGCCUGAGUUUGAAUCCCACCACAGCAUCAGGUGGAAUUUGAAUUCAAUAAAUAUCUGGAUUGAAGUGUCUAAUGAUGGCCAUAAAUCCAUUACCGGUUGUCGGAAAAAGCUACCUAGUUCACUGAUGUACUUUAGGGAAGGAAACUGCCAUAUUUCCCCGGUCUGGCCUACAUUUGACUCUAGAUCCACAACAAUGUGGAUGACUCUUAACAGCCCUCUGGGCAAUUAGGGAUGAACAAUUAAUGCUGGCCUGUCCAGCGAUGCCCUCAUCCCAUGAAUGAAUGGGGAAAAAAAUCAAUGGUUUCAAGUUAUAGGAUCUUGACCACAGCCAUUUCUAAUUGUUUUCCUGUGAUUAUGAAUAUUUUUGAAUUCAUUACUUCCACGUAUCCUCUGGGGAUCUCUAACGUUACAGAUGCCAAUCUUCAGCCAAUUCAGUUCAUUCCACAUGAUUGUCAAGACCAGCUGGAUACCACAAGAGACUUUGGGCCCUGACAGUACUCCAGAAAUAGUACUGAAGACUUGUGUUCCAGAAUUAUCUGCAUCAGGCUAUUCCGGUACGGCUACUACACUGGCCCAUACCCAGCAAUGUGGAAAAUUGCCCAGGUAUGCUGUGUGUGCAAAAAAGCAGGACAAAUCCAACCCAACAAGUUACCACCCCAUCAGUGAUGGAGGGGCUAGUCAACAGUGCUGUCAAGCAGCACAUGCUCAGCAAUUGCCUAUUAUCUCUUGCUCAGUUUGCUUUCCUCCAGGGCCACUCAUACUUGAGCUCUUUAUAACCUUGCUUCAAACAUGGACAAGAGAGCUGAACCCCAGAGAGGAGGUGAGAGUAACGAAUAUCAAGGCUGUAUUAAACUGAGUGUGGCAUUAAGGAGCCCUGUUAAAACUGAAGACAGUGUGAAUUGAAAUCUCUUUUUCUGUUCGGAGUCAUCCCUGGCAGAAAGGAAGAUGGUUGUGGUUGAUAGAGAUUACACAUCUUGGCUCUAGGUCAUUUCUUCAGGGUUUCCUCAAGAUAAUGUCCCAGACCCAGCCAUCUUCAGUUGUUUCAUCAACGACGUUCCCUCCAUUUCAAGACCAGAAAUGGGAUGUCUGCUAAUGGUUGGACCUUGUUCAGCAUCAUUUGUAACUCUUCAGAUACUACAUACCAUGUUCAAAUACAGCAAGACCUGGGCUGAAAGGUCACAAGUAACAUUCAAACCACAUAUAUGCCAGCAAUGACAAUCUCCCAUGAAAAAGAAUCUUGACCAAUGUCUCUUGAUAUUCAAUGAUGUUCCCAUCAUUGAGUAAUCCAUCAUCAGCAUCCAGAGGGUUACCAUUAACCAGAGACUGAACUGAACUAGCCACAUCAAUACUGGCUUCAAGAGCUUGUCAGAGGCUGGGAAAUCUACAUUGAGUAACCUGACUUUUGACUGUAUCACUCUUUCUUCGUGGUCAAAGUUUCGCAACUACCUCUCUGAUGGAAUUAUGGGUCUGUCUACACCAAAUGGGCUGCAACAGUUCAAGAAAUCUCCACCUUUCUGAGAGCAAUUAUAGUAGAGUAAUGAAUACUGGCCUAGAGAAAGAAAAUAUUGUUUUGAUAGAACCUCAUUCUGUGGACAGUUGUGAAUACAUUACAAUGGAGGAGAAUAUUUGUAUUGGACUAGGGAAGCUGUUCUCCUGUUGCUUUGUACAGAUCCUGAAGCGGGACACACAUUUUUAAAAAAAAUUAAAGUUUAGCCACUCUUAUGUGUAAUUUGUAAUGCAAAAAUAUGUUUAGGUUGAUAGUUUAUAUUUUAUAAAUUAUAUAAGUAAUUUGAAGAAAGAAUUCAGCAAGAAUUUUAUAAAGCAAUUGGUUUUACUUGUUUAAAAUUGAAAGAAUAUGAAAUAGUCAUUUGUAGACAGGAAAUUAAGUGGAUUUGUGUUUUGUAGUCAAAGUGCAAAUUGUAACAAUAUUGUGGCUUUGAGGUAUAUUUUAUCCUGUUUUUUUUUCAUAUGAAGAGAGGUUGAGACAGAGGUGCCGAAUAGCCGGAAUAUGAAAAGGAAAUGAAAGAAUUUGAAUUACGAUUAAAAGCAGAAGAAAAAGAAGGGAAGACCCUAGCAGACAAGAAGGAGAAAGAGCGAGAUUUUGAAUUUCAGAAGUUGACAAAGCGGAAUGUCAGCUUAAAAUGGUGAAAGUCGAAGAAAGACGAGCCUGAUGCAUUCAAAGAGUUGGGGACUGGAAACAGGAUUGCCACCUGGCUAUUU